rnacentral:rRNA from 1 species
GACGAACGCUGGCGGCGUGCUUAACACAUGCAAGUCGAGCGGUAAGGCCCUUUCGGGGGUACACGAGCGGCGAACGGGUGAGUAACACGUGGGUGACCUGCCCUCAGCUCUGGGAUAAGCCUGGGAAACCGGGUCUAAUACUGGAUAUGACUCCAUGACGCAUGUUGUGGGGUGGAAAGCCUUGUGCGGCUGAGGAUGGGCCCGCGGCCUAUCAGCUUGUUGGUGGGGUGANGGCCUACCAAGGCGACGACGGGUAGCCGGCCUGAGAGGGCGACCGGCCACACUGGGACUGAGACACGGCCCAGACUCCUACGGGAGGCAGCAGUGGGGAAUCUUGCGCAAUGGGCGAAAGCCUGACGCAGCGACGCCGCGUGAGGGAUGAAGACC